rnacentral:lncRNA from 1 species
CAGUUGUUGUACAGUGUCAGUUAGCGCUCGAAUUUAGUGAGCCAGGGUGUCGAGCGGAGGUGAAUCCUAUGGCCGAAGGUUGCACUAAGAUGGAUCCGCGGGCAGCAUUACUCAGCUGCAAUGAAUGGAUUGCUGAUAGGAGGUAGUGGAGUUUUGUGCUUUUGUCUGCAACAUGCUUUUUGUUCUCAUAAAAGAGGAUUGGACCCU